rnacentral:lncRNA from 1 species
GCGCGCGCGAGAACGAGGGGAGGGAGCGUCAGAGACGCACGGCUCCCCACGAACCCAACGGUGGCACGGAGCCGCCCCGCGGCCCAGGCCGCCGCGCUCGCGCGGACGGGGACAGGGAUGCGAGCGGUUCGGGGCCAUGCCCUUCCCCACCCCCCCUGCCCCGCCCGGGGAACGGCGCGGCGGCACAAGCGGGGAACGACUCCUCGCGACCGGACCGGGUCGUGGCCGGACACACGCACCCGGAGCGGCACAACCCUCACGCGGCACCGAGCGGGUGCCCGGCGCCCCGCGGGGGCGGGGGUGGCGGACCCGUCGUCCCCCCCCAAGCACCGGCACACAACGACGCCGUCGCCAGCGGACAAGCGGCGGUGGCGGCCAGGAGGCGGGGGCCGCGGCGGGCCCCCCCGUGGGAGCGAACUCGCAAAGGGUCGAGAGAGCGGGCGGGCCAGGGUCAGAAGAGACCAGACGGGGACGGGCCCGGCAGCACGAGGAGGCGGCGGCUGCAGCCAGCGUGGGGAGCGGCGCGCCAGAAGGGCGGCAGGAAACGGGAGAGGGCACCUGCCCACCCGCGGAGGAGCCCCGCCCGGAGAGAGCUGGCCGAGCCGCGCGGGCGCACCGGCCGGACAAACCCAGGGCGGCACACGGUGUACCACCGCCAGCGCGCACACCAGGCGCACGGGCGGUCCCGCGUGGCCCCGGACGAGCCGCCGGCCGGGUUCCCUGCAUCAGCCAACCUCCCGGGAGGGCCCUCGCGGGGGACAGGGCCCCGCCGCCCCACCGCCGCCGCAAGAGGCGGGGAGCCCCCGAACCCUCAACCCGCACACCGCGACGAGCAUCCCCAGCGACAACCGCCCGUCCAGCGUGCCCACCGCCACACCCGGUACACGCCCGGGAGGGGGCGGCAGCGCGGCCGCAACCAGUCAGCCAGGGGGGAGGCUCGGCGGAGGCGAGGAGGGGGGCACAACCCCGCCGGGAUGGAGGGCGCGCCGGAGGCAGCGAGGGGCAAAGAAACGCGGAGAGGAAACCGGGGAGAAGACCUCGGGCACAAGAGUCGGGCCGCCAGGAAAACAAGCGGGGUCCCACCGCCACACGCGAGGGCGGUCCCGCACCGCCUGCGACGCCAACCCGGCCUCCGGUCCCAGCCCCGGAGCCUCCCAACGAGACCCGCCGCCCCGCCACCACAGGGUGGCCCUCCACGCGACGAGACGCGCCUGGACUCCAAACGCCAGCAUGCAACGCCACAACUCGUGCCGGUCGAGUCCCACGACCUGGGCCUCUACAGCUCCAGGGUCCGCUCGCUCAACCACACCGCCCGCGGAACGCUCCCGGGGGGGCCGCGGCGGCCGCGCCCCAGGCCAGCACACACGCACGCAGGCCGCCCGCCGGCUCGGGACCGGGAGCGGGCAGAGGACCACUCGCAGCGGGCGAGGGGGAAGGGGGGACGGGGCCCCUCAACCCCCGGCCGCGCGAACAGAGCCCCACCGCCACCGCGCGCACACACGCGGCACCAGCGGCCCACACGGUGGCCCCACGUGCGCCAGAGGGCCCGGCCAGGCCCAGCGGGAACCCUCCCCCGACUCGAAGGGGGGAGGCGUGGGCCGCGGUAGGCACAAAGAGCAGGCGCUCGGCCCCCACCCGCGGGGGGCCGGCGGACCCCUGCCCUCCCAGGCGGCGGGAAGGGGGGACUCUCGCCUACACACACCACCGACGGCAGCGUAGCGCACAAGGCAGGGGGCGGCCAAUGGGGGAAUCCGGUACCCCGCACGAGGCACGCCCUUCACAGAUCGCUAGAGAAACGUUCCUCACUGAGGGUGGGCCGCACCCAACCCAGCCCCUCUCCCCACCGGCCGCCGAGACAACGAGGGGGAUCUGCGGUAUGGGCAAGCACAAGGCUUCUUGAGCGUUCGCGGCCGGGGACACCCAAAGCCCCAUCGCCUCGGGGGCCGGACCGGCCCCAGCUCGGCGUCCCGCCACAAUCGCUCAAACGCCCGGGCAACAGCUCCUUUCCCCCACCGGAGGUGGGGAAGAGCGCCCAGGCGCCCGCUCGCCUAACACUCCCCACGCCACUCGGCACUGGGGACGACAACGCAACCCGCUCCCCCCGGAGAGGGAACGGGCAACGCUGCCGAGCUUACCGCCUCGAU